GAGAGAGUAAACAGUGCGUGAAACCGCUCAGAGGUAAACGGGUGGAGUUGAACUGCAAGCUCUGAGGAUUCAGCUGGUGAGUUUGGCAUGAGCUUGGUCAUGUGGGUUGUGUGUUCGGGUCUGCUUAGCUGCAGGUCCUCGCCUUUGGUGGGGAUGCGCGUAUCGCUUAUCAAGCGUUGUGCGCCCGUUCUUCUCGGACCUGCUCGCCAGUGCACUUUCUCAGAGUGUUCACCACGACCGGCGUUGUCGUCUGGCUGGUGCGGUUAAACCGGCCUUGUAGGGUCCUUGUGGCCUUGCCUGGUCGGGAUGGCAGGUAGCCCGUUGUGUACUUCGGUGUGCUUCGGGUGUAAUAGCCGACUGCAUCGGUUCUGUGCGAUACGUCGGAGACGGCGGCUUGUUGUGCGUGCGGGCGUGCCUGUUGCGCUGGCGGCUCCGGGUCUGGUUGCCUUGUUGCUUGUAAAUGCAAGCCAGGUGAUGGCCUGGGGUCGUUUGGUGUGCGGUUGCGUUCGUGGCACUUUAAAGGGCCUACAGUCUGUGGUGUAGUGGUAGACUAUCCACCUGACCC
rnacentral:rRNA from 2 species